AUACCCGAGCCCCAUCUUCUGAAGAUAGGUUUCAAUGUUUAGCUGGAUAUGUGACUUGGGCCUACCAAUAUCAUGUGGAGUCUACUCUCUUCACCUCCAUGUAUUUCUACUUGAGGUAAUCGCGUAUAUCUGUUCUAUGUCAUAGACUUCUGGUGAGACUUUGGCUCCUUAGCGAGGGCUAUGGACCAUUAUCUUUGCAGUAC
rnacentral:lncRNA from 1 species